rfam:Asian citrus Psyllid, Diaphorina citri - Florida Strain, whole genome shotgun sequence.
GCUCCCAUUGCGUAGUAGUCACUGCACUAGCCUUGCACGCGGGAGACCCGGGUUCGAUUCCCGGCGGGGUCA